AGCGAACGCUGGCGGCAGGCUUAACACAUGCAAGUCGAGCGGGCAUCUUCGGAUGUCAGCGGCAGACGGGUGAGUAACACGUGGGAACGUACCCUUCGGUUCGGAACAACUCUGGGAAACUGGAGCUAAUACCGGAUACGCCCUUAUGGGGAAAGGUUUACUGCCGAAGGAUCGGCCCGCGUCUGAUUAGCUAGUUGGUGGGGUAACGGCCUACCAAGGCGACGAUCAGUAGCUGGUCUGAGAGGAUGAUCAGCCACACUGGGACUGAGACACGGCCCAGACUCCGAGGGGGGGAGGGGGGGGGUAGGGCGGGAAAGGGGGCGCGAGCCUGGGCAAGACGUGGUGAGGGAGUUGGGAAGGGCGUAGGGUUGUAAUGGUUUUUUGUCCGAGAAGAUAGAGCCGGUAGCGGAAGAAGAAGCCCUGGCAGAGGUGGGGCAAGCAGCGGGGGGAAAAGUCGGAGAGGACUCGGCGGAUC
rnacentral:rRNA from 1 species